AAAAUCUGAAGUCUGACGAGGAUGAGAACCUCCGGGGGCAAGAGGUUCGACCCGAGCGAAGCGAGAGAACGUUGCGUCAGCAACGGCCCGCAGGGCGAGCCACGCAGUGGCGAGUCAUCCUCUAUCACCGACCA
rnacentral:sRNA from 1 species